rnacentral:misc_RNA from 1 species
AAAAAUUUGAACUCUCAAAUGAGUGAAACUGAAACCACACAAAUUCUCCCCAAUUUCACUUGUACUAAUCUCUAUGAUUCAAAAUUAUAUAUGAACAUAAAAAGCAAAACAUAGAUAUUAUGUAACAACAAUUGAAGUUUCCAUUUGAUAUCCAAAAUUUUGCAUCAUUUCUAUGUAUUGUAUUUGACUAUUAUUCUAUAACGUGACACCAUAUGGCGAUAGAAAUAAAAUUACUCGCUUGCCCCUUAUACAUAAAAUUGGAACAUUUAGAACUAUUUGUUAAAGGAAAUUAGUGCCUGCAUGAUUUUGAUGCAAGAGUUGGUGAGCAAUCUGAUCCCUAGCUUGUACAGCAUUCAUUGACCUCACAAUAUUUUCUGGAACCAUUUCAUCAUCGAAAAGAUCAAAUCUCAGCCCUGGAUUCAGUUGUUCACCUCUCAUCUCGCAAAUAUUAUGCAAUACACAGCAAGCCCCCAAUACCACAGGCAAAUCUUGAAGCUUCACUUCUGUUCUCUUGCGUAAGCAGCUCCACCUAGCUUUCAUUCGCAUAAACGCCUCUUUAGCAACCUUUUGGACUUCCCCUACUUUUUCAUUAAAAGCAUGUUGAGUCCAAGUAAGAUUUUGGCGUGUGUAAGGAGCUAAUACCCAAUCCAUUAAUGGAUACCCUGAAUUUCCUACAACCCAAGUAUCCUUCAACUGUCCCCUGUUUGCUCUCUGAUACAGAGCUGAUUUUUCCAAUACUUUGUCAUCAGACAUCGAACCAGGCCAACCGAUGCAAACAUCUGUGAAAACCCCUUUUGGAUCCACAACACCUUGAACUGUAACGGAGUAUGAAGUUUUCUGAUUCCUUUCUGUAUGCCUUUUGUUGAAAUAAGCAGCUACACUUACUUUUGGGGCGAUUAUUGGAACAUGUGUUGUGUAAAUAGAUCCACCUACAUUUGGCAUCCCGGAUAACAUCUGGAAUUCACUUUUGAUCUCGUUCAUCUUGUAAUCCUCAUUAGGCCAUUGCACGAAUUUUGGCAUGAGUACGCCUUUAAUUGCAGUGCAAACCUCUAGAACAAGCUUAUGACAUGUAGAUAUGCCUAGGCCAAAACGCUUGGAAACUUCACGAAGUGGCUCUCCUGUAGCCAAUCUCCAAAUGCAGACAGCAACACGUUGGCGAACUGGAAUUGCUUGACGAAGCAUUGUGUCCUUUUUAGUGACUACAGAUUCCAAUUCUUCACAGAUCAUAUCAAAAGUUGCUCUGCUCACCCUAAACGCCUUUUUAAACUCCUCUUCUGGAAAAUCAGGGCUAUUACACUGUUCCCACCAUGCUUUAGACCUGUCUUUCACCCAUAACCUCCUUUGCUGUUGAGGCUGAGAUUCCUCCUCCGAAGUUGAAAUGAAUUCAGCAGAACCCUGACGAGACCUUUUGUUAUUCGUACUCGCCAUUGGCUUCACUUUCUCAUUUAUCAUUAUUAACCCGGUAGGUUGUUGAUUCGAAAAGUCAAAAACAGAUUGAUUUUGAUUUGUGAAUUGCUUAAGGUUCGUUUUGUCUUCUUCCUUAUCAAAUCCCAAAAAUUUGUUUAAUAUAUCCUCAACACUCUUCAAAGAGCCCUGCUGUUCAACAACUUGUUCCAAAUCAAAAUCAAAAUCAUCAACUCUUUGCUUUUUAGGAAGCGGUUCAGCAACUAUCGGAGCAAGAGUAUCAGUAGUAGGGAAGUCAAAAUCUUGAAAAAAACUGAAGAAAUUAGGAGAAGGAUAAUCUUCCUGAUUGGGAAAUAGGAAAGAAGAAAUUUCCAUUAAAAAAAAUAUUGAAAAUAUGAAGAGAGAACGGAGAAGUGUG